UCGUGGUCUCAUUCUGUUAACGUUACCUACCUUCCAUGCUCUAGUAUUCCAUUUAUUCCUUGGGGACUAGGCACUUGGAGGUGACCACGACAACCUCCACCAUCUCAGUUAUUGUCUCCUCGCUCGCGUCGUUCGCCAUUUCCAUUCUCCCCGGUAAGAAGAGGGAGCAGUGAGAAAAUGUGGCGCUGUGUAGCCUUCGAUUAUCUUCUUCGUCUUCGAAGAAAUCGAUCGCCAGCGAACCUCUUAAACAACUUAUUUCAAGAUUUCUUUCCACUGAAUCGGUAACAUCUCUCUCUGUUCCUUCUCUUUAAUAUUUUUUUCUGAGAAUCCAUGUGUUGCAAGGCUGCAACGGAAGCUAGACUGGGGGUCGAUCUUCUUAUACCAUCGUAGAUCACACAUUUGAUGCCGUUGUGGUGGGAGCUGGGGAGCAGGGCUGAGAGUGGCCAUUGGGCUCUCUGAGCAUGGUUUCAAUACGGCUUGCAUUACUAAACUUUUCCCUACCAGGGUUGUAUUAACGCUGCACUAGGGAACGUGAGUGAAGACGAUUGGAGGUGGCACAUGUAUGAUUCAGUCAAAGAAAGUGAUUGGUUAGUUUAUGUGUAGAGAGGCACUGAAAGCAGUCAUAGAGCUUGAGAAUUAUGGUUUAGCAUUUUCGCGAACCGAAGGUGGGAAAAUAUAUCAGCGUGCAUUUGGUGGUCAAAGCCUGAACUUUGGAAAAGGGGCAGGCAUACCGUUGUGAUCGAACUGGCCAUGCUUUGCUGCACACUCUUUAUGGACAGGCAAUGAAACAUAAUACCUGAUUCUUUGUGGAGUACUUUGCAUUGGAUCUUAUAAUGGACAGCAGUGGUACCUGUCAAGGUGUAAUUGCAUUAAACAUGGAGGAUGGGACACUCACUGCAUUGAUUCUGUGCUUCCUCAACGAUAUUAGCUACAGGGGCACCGGGCAUCGAUCAUUAUGAAGCUUAGUUAUCAAAUUUUUCAGAGGCAAUACGUCAUUUAUCUUACUUCUGUUUAAUCCUUGUCUGGGUCAUGGUAGAGCGUACUUUUCUGCCACCUCAGCUCAUACAUGCACUGGGGAUGGCAAUGCUAUGGUUGCACGUGCUGGAUUACCCCUUUAGGAUCUUGAAUUUGUGCGAUUUCACCCAACGGGUAUUUCCGGGGCCGAGUGCCUCAUUACUGAAGAAUCCCAUGGUGAAGGUGGCAUUCUGAGGAACAGUGAAGGUGAAUGCUUUAUGGAAUGUUAUGCUCCUACUGCUAAAGAUCUGGCCUCCAAGAGAUGUUGUGUCAAGAUUAAUGACCAUGGAAAUUUGUGAAGGUCGUGGUGUAGGUGGUUCACAUCAAACAGAUGCAGUAGUUCCUGGACUAAUGGCUGCUGGUGAGACAGCAUGUGCAUCUGUUCAUGGUGCCAAUCGGCUUGGGACAAACAGAAAUCCUUGGAAGGUGAUCCUCGGGAGAUGAGAAAUUCAAAUGGUUCAUUGCAAAAUUCAAAAAUUUGUCUGAAUAUGCAACAAGUUAUGCAAAACAAUGCUGCUGUAUUCCGCACUCAAGAAACAUUAGAAGACGGUUGUUAGUUAAUUGAUCAGGCAUGGAACAGCUUUCAUGAUGUUAAGUUGAAGGAUAAUAAAUAUGAGAUCAAGCUAUCUUUUAGUUGGUUUUAAAAUUAGUCCACAAACUGUUCAUCUUCAUUGGAUCUGACCUCUGACAUCUCGUUGGAGGAACUCUGAUUUGAUGGAGACUGUAGAGUUGGAAAACCUUUUGAUCAAUGUAUGUAUAACCGUGCAUUCUGCUGAGGCCUGGAAGGAUAACAGAGAAGCACAUGCCCGUGAAGAUUUUACGAAAAGAGAUGAUAAGAGUGGAUGAAACAUACAUUUGGGUCAACUCUUCCCAAUGGAACUGAUUUUUAUUUUGGUCUGCGGAUACUGGGAGAACGAGAAGGUGCGACUGGACUACAGACCUGUCCAUAUGAACACAUUGAAUGAUGAGGUGGAGUCAUUUCCUCCAAAAGCAUGUGUAUAUUGAACAUUUUUCAAAGCAUGUGUAUGUUGAACAUUUUUCAAUGUAAGGUGGGCAGCUUGGUGGGAUGGACUGCGAGGUUCUGAUCUUGGAUCCAAGAUUGUGACAAUGUGGCCUGUAUUGGAUUGUUGAUCUGAUUUGUGUGAUAAAAUUUUCUUCACUAUUAGAAACAGUAAGAAUAAUAACAGGCUUUGCAUUUAAAUGCAUGAAUAA